rnacentral:sRNA from 1 species
GCAGCUCCGGCGUCUACUACUUUGAUGGGAAGAGUUCAUCAUCAUCGUCACCAACUAAUAACAGAGGAUUUGGAAAAGUAAUUCUAGAGAUCCAAACUAUCACCUUCGCUUCUCACUAUCGCUCAACUCACCAUCGUCGUUGAAACUCACCAUCGUCGCCAACGCUAAUUGGAGGUCGAGAUCUUGCCGUCUUUUUCAUCACGAGACAUGAUUCAUGAGUCACCGCCGUUGCUUCUUACCGUUGUCAAAAUCGUUGUUGUUGCAGGAGCUCAAUCACCAUUGUAGGUUCAGUGAGCCGGCCCGGGAGAAGCGUUGCCAAAAAAGAAUAAAGACAAAGGUAACAAAUAAACAAAGAAGACACAACAGUGAAUUCAUCUAAUCCAAAGUUGUAUGUGGUUUCCGAAAUGCUUCCUUUGUCUUGUUCCGAAUCUCUCUGUCGAUGAACUUGAAAAUGGUGUUUCACGUUCAUUCAAUAAAAAAUAACAACCAUAGUGUACACAGAGACUGAU